AAAAUGAAAAAUCCUUUUUUAAUUAGAAUUAUAAAAACUCAUGUGAGACCCCAAAUGGGCUUCUCCGAUAAAGAAAGAAAAUUAAUUAAACCUAAAACUUGUGUAUUUUGGAAAAUACGACUGGGCCAAGUUAUGCCUAUAUUUUUGGAAGCCUACCAAAACCCGUCUAGACCGCUUGUGGAGGACAUUAGUUUUCUGGUUCGGAAAUGUUUGAGAUUAAACCGGUUUGACUGAUAAUCAGUCAGUCCGAUUUGGGUAAAUUGAUGGUUUAGCGAUUUUGAUAUGCUGGCUUGUUUUGCCGCUCUGGUUCGCCGGUUUGGUCUCUUCUUCUUCUACCCCUCUGCUUUGUUUGGUUUGCGAUCUUCGGUUGUCUGCUCUAUUUCAGGGGAAUCUCUCAACCGAUAUCCUCUCAAUCACUAUAUUAUCUCUGCUACCGGCAUAAGGAGUUACAUGAUGCUACUUGGACUGUUACAGAGACUGCUUGAAUGAAACAUUGAGAAUUUUGGGGGUCUUGAGAAUGAAGUUUUGGGGAGGCUUUUUAGUGAUCGUUGGUUCCAUUUCCUUCAUUGAAUUUGUGUUUGUAGCUAUAGUCUCCAAAUUGUUUCCACUCUCUGACAAUCCCAUUAUCCAAGCUAUUCAGAAUGACAGGUACUACUGCUUCUUGGCUCCACUGACUCUACCAGCUCUUCUGGUUGCUGUCUACUUUCAUUGGCUUAGUAUGAAGCUCUUCAAGCACGCAUGAUACAUCUCACGUAGCAACAUCUUACUCCAAGGGAACAAUAACAUCUGGUCCGAAGCAUUCUUCUGAGGCUGUUCGGUUGUUUGUCACAUCUCAUGGUUGGAAGGAAUUUGGACUUUCUGGAGAUUUUUAAAACUCUGUUGGAGAUAGCUGUUCAUGCAUCUUUUGUUCAGACUGGAGAUGAGUUUUGUGUAGAACGGUUCGAUUACUACAUGGUUGCAGACUCCGAAAUAUUCGAUAUUGUAAUCUAGGAUAUAUCACUGCUACUUUUUUUUUUUUUUUUUGUGUGUCAUACUUAGUAUUAUCUAUCUUUAAAAAUAGAGAUUGUAACCAACUUUACUGA